rnacentral:misc_RNA from 1 species
AAACUACGUUAAACGGUGUGAAUUGCAGAACACGCAGAACACUGGAACUUUGAACGCACAUGGCAGGUUAGUGUUAUAACUAACCUUUGUCUGUGUGAGGGUUGUAGACAGAGAAUAAAAGCUACUUUUUGAAAAGCGGUGAGGUUGCCUGUUAAAUGUGUGACAUGCCCGCUGAUCGUGUUAAAAAGACACUUGUGUUGCGCCUCUGGCCAGCGUCGGAGGAUAACGGCAACUGGACGAGUGUUGUCUAGUUCUUUUUUCUCACAACCUCACAUCAGGCAAGAUUACCCGCUUAAUUUAA